rnacentral:lncRNA from 1 species
UUGCUCUAUGUGAGAAGUAUCAGUUUCUCUCGGAGCAGCCAACCAACUAGUGGUUGUGGGGGCAUCUAUUUAAAGCCUGGGAGCAUCCCCGCAUGAUUAGAUAUUAAUGCCCUUAAUGACAUGACCUUUGGGUGGAUAAGAUUUGGGACAGGUUGCGCGCGGCGCGACAACUAUCGGAACUUUCAAUUGUGAAAGUCCUCGUGUCUCUCAUAUUGCUCACGGGGAGUAUCGGGUAGGUGUAGAUUUGAGUUGAGCAUCAUGCGCAAACUAUUUCCUUAGUUUUACAUCGACCGACUUUAACAGUACGGCGAUCCUAUGACUCAGGAAUGAAAAAAAUGACCAGAAAGAGUAAAUCUUCAACUUUCGAAGUCUUCAAAGCAUUUUCCUCAGGACACACCGAAUUCCUCAUAUUCAAUGUUUUGAUGAGGAAUAUCAAUUUCUUCGCAAUUUCUUCGCGAUCAGAGUCUUCAAGGAAUGACCAAAAUCUUCGCCCGAAGACAUACAUUUUUAGGGGUCGAUAUUCAUCGAAUCACUCAAACUCCUUAAUGACUUAUUGAGCUUGUGUACACUUACAAACAUAUGAGUAUCUUAACCUAUAAGUCUUCAAUCCACCAAAAUCACUAAGGGUCACUAGAUGCACUUACACAAUCCAUACAUAUGAUACUUGAUCUCUAGCCUCCCCAAGUUGCUUUCCACCAAAUCAAUCUCUCCUACCCAUGCAAAAUCUGUGUAGCGACCCGACUCAAAAAGAGUCAAGCCUCUCUGUAUCUGUGCCAUCCCUGGAUCAGUAUGCUGGCACACACAGUAAAUCAAUGUAUAUAUCAAAGUGCAAUCACAUGUAAAUAACGUAAAAUUGAUAUAUACCUCAAAAUCUCAGUGGAAACAGUCAAGGGAGUGGAGUCCCAAUAAACACCAACGACAAGUUGAGCGCAGACCGUAACCCUGAAUCAUACUCUUACUCGUCGAAGAAAGUAUCUACAACAUAAGACGUUGCAGCCGUGUAGGUCAGGAUAUUGAAUAUGCCGGCAAGUCACAAAAGAUAGGGGUGAAAUAUCAUCUAUACUAUAUGCAUAUAUGGCAGGUGGGGCUGUAGUUUAAGUUUAGCGUAAAGCAAAUUUUCCUACAACAAGAGAGAGGGUAAAAGCAAAAUUUACUACAUUGUUGGUUGUUAAUGAGAAGGUUAAACCAACCAUUUCUCAUACCCAAGUUAUCAAUAUUACCCACAUCAAAUAGAUUUAAUGGUGUUGAGAAUUCCUGAUAGCUUUAGUUCCUUUGGCUCAAGUUGUCCAUGACCGUGGACACGGCUAAUAGAUUAGGGUUGAGUACUCUGCAGAGUUUUGCACACGUUCCCCACAAGAUCUGAUCGCCUCCGUUGGAGUCCUCGCACUUCAGGGUGUUUGAGAACCGGAUGAUCAAAACAUGGUCUUCCAAAGGGUUCCUCUGAGCCACUGUUGGUUCCCAUCCAAUCCUACCGUUCUUCUACAUCUCGUAGCACCCCCCGUCCAGACACACCACGAUGUCCAACCAAGUUAGAGCCCAUAAUUACUUGUGGCUGUGAAGGUAAGCCUCGGGUCUUGAAUUAUCCAUCCAUCUCUUCGUGCCUGGGUGAAGCUUUUCGCAAGAUGUCAUGGCGCUUCCCCAUGCAUCACGGGUCAUCCACUGGUUUCCCGAGGGAGCCCAUCAAAACCGUUCUUCACCCAGAGGUAUAUUGCAUCAUGAGGUCUUGAAAGUCUUGAAUUAUUCAGGUCUUGAUUAUUAAUUUCUCACAACACUCAUGAUAAACACUCAACCAAACCCGUCAACUAGAAGCAUAACCAAAUAACGUCCUAGCCAAAGUAACAAGGGGCUUAUGGGUGCCUAUCACAAGAUACUACUCAAAAAUCAAAAUUUCCAAGUACCUACUCUGCUUGCAAUAGGUAGAGAAGGUUGAAACUAAUGCAAUAAAACCAUAGGUAAAAAUAUGAUCAAUGUGAACUUGCCUUGUAAGGUUGAUGGACAUAGAUAUUGCUCUCAAGAAAUAACUUGAUAGAACUAUUCGUCACUCUCCAAUGAAUACUAUAUAAUCAAACAUAGUAUUCACAUCAGCAAUCAUACUAUCAAUCAUCCUAACAAUCCAUGACAAAUCAAAAAAAUUCAAUUGAUGCAAUAACAUUAAUAGGAAAAAUCAAAUAAGAAUCCAAAAGAACUUCAAAGAAUAGCUAUGGAGCCUUCUACUAUAACAACACAAGAUAAUUUUUAUCCUAUUUAAACUUAACAGAAAAAUAAAACACUAAAAUAGUAAAAUAAAAGAAAAUAAAAUAUAUAAUAACUAAGAUAAUAUAAAGUAUUUUUCAUACAAAUUUUAUUAUCAGAAACAAGUAAUUGAAAUGUUUUUUGUUAACCUCUACUUAUGAUCAAAACCAUGUUAACCUUCAAUUAAAUCUAUACAAUUUCACCUUCAAUACAAAUUGUUGCCGAUCUAAUCAAAAGUUAACAAAGAAUAAAACUCAUAAAACAAAAUAUAUAAAGUAUUUUCAAAUAAGAAUUUAAAUUUGGCAAUGAAAUCAAUUUACAAGUUAUUAUUGAAUUAGAAUUGAUUCCAUGCAAACAAAUAAGAGUAAACAAAAUAAAAUUUUGUUGUUGUUGAAAAGUUACAGGUAAAUAUGAGAAAACAAAAUAUAACAAGUCGUAAAAACAAAGGAAAACAAAUUAAGAACAAUUAAUACAAAAGAAAUAGCAACAAAACUGAAAAGAGAUAAAACAGAAUUUGUUUUGCUUAAAACCCUAAUAUAAAAUAUCCUAAAAAUUCUGAAAUUAAACCCACUGAUAAAUAAUAUAACUAGUGAUCAGUAGCAGAAAGAAUCAACUCAAAAGCUAUUUUUAAACUCCCGAUAUUCACAAAAAGGUUAAAAACAAAAUCUAUUUAAAUUCAAAAUUUAAAAAUAUUUUUUGUUGAGUCCACGAGAUAGAUGGGAUUUUUAUAAACUGGUAACAAAAAGAAUCAGUGGAUUUGGAGUUGAAGACUAAUAGAUAUGAAUUUUCUAAAUUUCCUCUUUUUCUGGAAAAAAACUUUUACGGGAUUUCUAAAGCUCAACGGAGAUAGUCGCCGGAGUUGGAGAAGACGAUAGGGAGGUGGCUCCGGUGACCGGCCGAGGCAGCGGAGGGGUUCAGGUGGUGGCGGAGUGGCUCCGGAGCGUCGAGGUGAUGUCGGAGGGGUGUGGGGGCGACGGGAGGAAGCAGCAGGAGCUUGGGAAGCUUCGGCUCCGGCCGAAACUCCGGCGAGUUGAGGCAGGCGCUACAGCGAUGGGGAGGGGCGGUUCUCGGGCGGAACAGAGAGAGGGGGAGGUGGGGAGUAUUUAUAGGGGCUCAGGAUGCUCGGAGAAGGUAGGAGGGGGGAGAUCAGCUCGGGAUUCGAUCAACUGCAGCCAUGGAAAGUUACUCGCAACGGUAGAAGGAAGGGAGAUCUCGUGAGGAAGAAGAAGAGGAUUCCGGCCGGAUUCAAAACGGGCCGAGGUUAGUUUUCCUAUUAAAAACGAUUUAUUACCUUCUAUUUGAAAAUAGGAAAGAGACGCUUCGAAAGGAAAUAAAUAAUAGUCCGAAAAUAUAAGUAUUAUAUAUCAAAAUAAUCAGAAAACAAUUCCCAUAACGUGGACAUUUUCUUUUUCCCAAAAUAAUAACUUUAAAAAUUAUAUAUUUUUACAUCCAAUAAAAACAAAACUUUGUCUUUUAACAAAUUUGGCACUACUUUUCUUCUGACUUUUUGGGGUGUCAUGCUACCUCCUCUCUUUCUUGCUUGACCAGAUAAUUGUUAGGCAUUUUGUGAGUGAAACAAUAUUGUGCCAAAAAUAAAUGCAAAUCAAAUAACGAAAGAAAAUUCAAAUGCCACCAUCAUUCAAAUUCUUUAUAGUUGAAGAAGUCAUGUUGUCUUCUCUCAUUGAUUUUAAAUGGAUGAAUUUGAAUUCAUAGGAAAAGGGGAAACUCAUUUUAUUCGCUCUCAAUCAAAAAAUUUAAAAGUUUCAAAUUCUCAAUCAAUUUCAAAUCACUGAAACAAACGAACAAUCAAUCUAGUAAUUAUUGUAACAUACCAAAAUUUGGGAUGUUACAAUCUGUGAGAGAGUGACUGAGUGUUCCGGAGACAAUCUAUAGAAGCACAAGAGCAAGGAGUUCAUCGGUCUAACACAUCAAUUACCUUUUGGAGGGUGUAGCCUCCUAGAUUGGUUAGGCGUCGCUUGGGAGCCUCCUACUUCAUGUUGUGGAGUUGAACCAAGAUGUUGGUAAGGGCAAGGAUAUCGCCUACUUCAUGAAGAUCUACCAUAAGUGAGGCUAGUCCAACGUGGAUGGAGGCCAUGGUGUAAUAGACAAGGCCGCUUCUUCGUGGACCCCUUUUAGGUGGAGCCCUCCGUAGACUCUCGCCACCAUUAGCCUCCGUGGGUUGAAUUCUCCGCUAACAUGGACGUACGAAAGCGCCACCCAUUGAAACCAUGCCAAAAAUGAUCGUGUCAUCCUCUUUGCGUUUGAUCUCCUAAAGUCUACUACUUACUAGAUGUGAAAAAAAAUUAUUCCGUUGCUAUAUAUGUUGACUAGCAUGUGUCGGGUGCACUAGACUUGUUAGANN